rnacentral:rRNA from 1 species
GACAGAGGAUGCAAACGUUGCUCGGAUUUACUGGGCGUAAAGCGCGCGCAGGCGGUCUUGUAAGUCGGACGUGAAAUCCCGGGGCUCAACCUCGGAAGUGCGUCUGAUACUGCGAGACUGGAGUACUGGAGAGGAGAGCGGAAUUCCCGGUGUAGAGGUGAAAUUCGUAGAUAUCGGGAGGAACACCAGUGGCGAAGGCGGCUCUCUGGACAGAUACUGACGCUGAGGCGCGAAAGCGUGGGAAGCAAACAGG